rnacentral:rRNA from 1 species
AAUCAACGCUGGCGGCGUGCCUAACACAUGCAAGUCGCACGAGAAAGGGUCUUCGGAUCUGAGUAAAGUGGCGCACGGGUGAGUAACACGUGAAUUAUCUACCUUCGAGUGGGGAAUAACUUCGGGAAACCGAGGCUAAUACCGCAUAAUAUCUACGGAUCAAAGCAGUAAUGCGCUUGAAGAGGAGUUCGCGGCAGAUUAGUUAGUUGGCGGGGUAAUGGCCCACCAAGACGAUGAUCUGUAUCCGGCCUGAGGGGGCGCACGGACACACUGGAACUGAAACACGGUCCAGACUCCUACGGGAGGCAGCAGUGGGGAAUUUUGCGCAAUGGGGGAAACCCUGACGCAGCAACGCCGCGUGGAGGAUGAAGUCUCUUGGGACGUAAACUCCUUUCGAUAGGGAAGAUUGUGACGGUACCUAUAGAAGAAGCCCCGGCUAACUUCGUGCCAGCAGCCGCCGCCG